rnacentral:rRNA from 1 species
AUCUUAGGACCUCUCGCUCAAGGGGCGGCCGAUGGCGGAUUAGCUAGUUGGUGGGGUAAAGGCCUACCAAGGCGACGAUCCGUAGCUGGUCUGAGAGGACGACCAGCCACACUGGGACUGAGACACGGCCCAGACUCCUACGGGAGGCAGCAGUGGGGAAUUUUGGACAAUGGGGGCAACCCUGAUCCAGCAAUGCCGCGUGUGUGAAGAAGGCCUUCGGGUUGUAAAGCACUUUUGUCCGGAAAGAAAUCAUCCUGGUUAAUACCUGGGGUGGAUGACGGUACCGGAAGAAUAAGCACCGGCUAACUACGUGCCAGCAGCCGCGGUAAUACGUAGGGUGCAAGCGUUAAUCGGAAUUACUGGGCGUAAAGCGUGCGCAGGCGGUUCGCUAAGACAGAUGUGAAAUCCCCGGGCUUAACCUGGGAACUGCAUUUGUGACUGGCGGGCUAGAGUAUGGCAGAGGGGGGUAGAAUUCCACGUGUAGCAGUGAAAUGCGUAGAGAUGUGGAGGAAUACCGAUGGCGAAGGCAGC